rnacentral:rRNA from 1 species
CGCGUAGGCGGAUCGCUAAGUCAGAGGUGAAAUCCCAGGGCUCAACCCUGGAACUGCCCUUGAUACUGGCGAUCUUGAGUAUGAGAGAGGUAUGUGGAACUCCGAGUGUAGAGGUGAAAUUCGUAGAUAUUCGGAAGAACACCAGUGGCGAAGGCGACAUACUGGCUCAUUACUGACGCUGAGGCGCGAAAGCGUGGGGAGCAAACA